UACGGGGGGAGCAAGCGUUGUUCGGAUUUACUGGGCGUAAAGGGCGCGUAGGCGCCAGCGCAAGUCAGUUGUGAAAUCUCCGGGCUUAACUCGGAACGGUCAACUGAUACUGCGCGGCUAGAGUGCAGAAGGGGCAACUGGAAUUCUCGGUGUAGCGGUGAAAUGCGUAGAUAUCGAGAGGAACACCUGCGGCGAAGGCGGGUUGCUGGGCUGACACUGACGCUGACAGCGCGAAAGCUAGGGGAGCGAAC
rnacentral:rRNA from 1 species